rnacentral:lncRNA from 1 species
GGUUUGGUUCCAGCCAGCUGUGAAACUGACAAGGGAGCGGGAAGGGGGGGGGGCUCGCUCCCUGUCUGGGGAGGAGGCUGCGACCAGGCGUGCGAGCCCAAGUGUGUUUAAAAAGCAAUGAGCCACUCCCCCCUCCCCCCGCGCCACUCUCUUCCCUCGCCAGCCUGUUAGCUCUGCUCCCGGCUGUCUGCGAGUCUAGCGCGCAGCGAGCCCAGCGCUGGCCUGGGAGCGAGGGGCACCGCCAGAGGAGCGGGCAGGGGAGCAGAGGGGGCGUAGGCGGCUUCUGUUGUAGGGCGUGCAGCCCGAAAUAAAACAAAACCAGGCAGAACAAAGCUCUGUCACAACUGUGCUUCCUGGUUGUCGCCUCCUGCCUGCAAACCACUGAACAUUUUCCACUUGAUAUCGUCAUGCAGAAAGGGAGAAACGAGACGCAAUGAGAGAUUCAGGUGACGCUUGGUACAGCUGGCAAGAAAAAUGAGGACGUUAUCUUGUACAGAAAAAAUUGUUUCGGCCGCACCUGACAAAAGUAUGGUAUGCACAUCUCAGUCUCCCUGGAAGCAUUGGCCAGUGCUUUGGAAUGUCCAGAUUAGAUACCAAAAGAUUAAAGUCAGAUGCUCGUCUACAAACUGCCUAACCAUUGUCCUUCGCUGGUGAGAUAAAAGGAAGAAGUCACGGAAAGAGAGGAACUACACCAGGCUUCAGAUUUUGGACUAUACGACAAGACUCUGUAAGAUACUCGGUG